rnacentral:rRNA from 1 species
UUUUUAUAAUUAUUAUAAGUUUUAAAGAUUUAUAAAUUUUUAAAUAAUAAAACUUAAAUAAUUAUUUUAUUGGGGCGAUAAAAAAAUUUUAAAACUUUUUUGAAAUAUUUAUUUAAAUUAAAAUUUUUAAGAAAAGAGUUAUUAUUAAUAAUUUUAAGAAUAAAA